UUUUAAAUGUAUAUAUUAAUUUAGAUUAUUAUAAGUUAUGGUCUUUAAAAUUAAAAAAUUUGGCGGUAUUUUAGUCAGUUUAGAGGAACCUGUUUAUUAAUUCGAUAAUCCACGAUUUAAGAAACUUAUUUUAUAAGUUAAUAUAUCGUCGUUUUUAAUUAUUUUAAAAGAAUUAAAUAAUUAAGAUUUUAAAUUAAAAAUUAUAUCAGAUCAAGAUAUUGCUAAUAAAUAAGAUUUAAUGGGUUACAGUAAAAAUAUAUUUAGAUAACAAUAUUUAAAAAUUGUUUGAAAAUGGAUUUAAAAGUAAUUUAAUAUAAUUAUAUUAUAUGAUUUUGCUCUAAAAUAUG
rnacentral:rRNA from 1 species